rnacentral:rRNA from 1 species
GAUGAACGCUGGCGGCGUGCCUAAUACAUGCAAGUCGAGCGAACAGACGAGGAGCUUGCUCCUCUGACGUUAGCGGCGGACGGGUGAGUAACACGUGGAUAACCUACCUAUAAGACUGGGAUAACUUCGGGAAACCGGAGCUAAUACCGGAUAAUAUAUUGAACCGCAUGGUUCAAUAGUGAAAGACGGUUUUGCUGUCACUUAUCGAUGGAUCCGCGCCGCAUUAGCUAGUUGGUAAGGUAACGGCUUACCAAGGCGACGAUGCGUAGCCGACCUGAGAGGGUGAUCGGCCACCCUGGAACUGAGACACGGUCCAGACUCCUACGGGAGGCAGCAGUAGGGAAUCUUCCGCAAUGGGCGAAAGCCUGACGGAGCAACGCCGCGUGAGUGAUGAAGGUCUUCGGAUCGUAAAACUCUGUUAUUAGGGAAGAACAAAUGUGUAAGUAACUAUGCACGUCUUGACGGUACCUAAUCAGAAAGCCACGGCUAACUACGUG